rnacentral:snoRNA from 1 species
CACGAAAUGACUCUCCGGAAUCGCUGCAUUACGCUGAUGAAAGCUCUUUUACACCCGAUGACCGUGGCCUUUUACCU